CAGUAGCCGCGGUAAUACGUAGGUGGCAAGCGUUGUCCGGAAUUAUUGGGCGUAAGGGGCUCGCAGGCGGUUUCUUAAGUCUGAUGUGAAAGCCCCCGGCUCAACCGGGGAGGGUCAUUGGAAACUGGGAAACUUGAGUGCAGAGGAGGAGAGUGGAAUUCCACGUGUAGCGGUGAAAUGCGUAGAGAUGUGGAGGAACACCAGUGGCGAAGGCGACUCUCUGGUCUGUAACUGACGCUGAGGAGCGAAAGCGUGGGGAGCGAACAGGAUUAGAUACCCCCGUAGUCCCUGUCUCUUAUAA
rnacentral:rRNA from 1 species